rnacentral:tRNA from 3 species
GCCAGGGUAGCUCAGUUGGUAGAGCAGAGGACUCAUAAGCCUUUGGUCGGGGGUUCGAGUCCCUCCCCUGGCACCA